rnacentral:rRNA from 1 species
CACGGCUAACUACGUGCCAGCAGCCGCGGUAAUACGUAGGUGGCAAGCGUUAUCCGGAAUUAUUGGGCGUAAAGCGCGCGUAGGCGGUUUUUUAAGUCUGCUGUGAAAGCCCACGGCUCAACCGUGGCGGGUCAUUGGAAACUGGAAAACUUGAGUGCAGAAGAGGAAAGUGGAAUUCCAGGUGUAGCGGUGAAAUGCGCAGAGAGAUGGAGGAACACCAGUGGCGAAGGCGACUUUCUGGUCUGUAACUGACGCUGAUGUGCGAAAGCGUGGGGAUCAAACAGGAUUAGAUACCCUGGUAGUCCACG